AGAGGUGAAGAUGAUGUCAGUGUGACAUCUGUCAACCCAUUGAUCAUUAAGGCUAAUUUGAUGGAUUUGGCUGGCUAGGUAUCCUUAUCAUCCCUUUCCAUUUCCACUACUCCCUUGUUAUCCCUCUUGGAGGAAUUGCUUGGAGGAAGAAGAUUACCAUCCCAGACAGAAGGACUGUGAUGUGCUUUGGUCAAGAGUAUAGAAUAGUUUGGUAUAAUAACUGCAACAUGUUUUGAGGGUGCUAAACAAGGGCAUAGCUGACCUAAGGCUUUUCAUUUGAGAAACAAAAUUAGAAGGAUGCCUUGUC
rnacentral:snRNA from 1 species